AUGGCUCUUAGGUUUGGCUUUAUUCUUGCACUAAAGACGGGAUGUAAUCGUCUUGUUAUUAACUCGGAUAAUAUGAAAGUCAUUGACACAAUGAAGAAUGAAGGACAACCUGCGGGAGCGGCGGCAGUCUAUGAUGAUUGCUACUUCAUGGCAUGUGAUUUUCCUUUGACUAGAUUUAAACAUUGUAAUAGGGUAGCUAAUAAGGUUGCUCAUAAACUUGCUAGGCUAGUGAAAUUUCUGCAACUAGGGAUUGGCUUGAGAAGCCUAUGGAGAAUAUUGUACCUCUUCUUAUUUUUUCAAAAAGGAGGUUUGCCCCGUCCUCUGCAUCAAAACGAUGCAUACGGCCAUAUUAUUGAUAAUCAAAAGGUCCAACAUAAGUCUUGA
rnacentral:rRNA from 1 species